CUAAUUUCUCUUCUUCUUCUGAAUUGUUGAAAUUAAUUCGAAAUAAUCUAUAGGAAUUGAAACAUUUGUAAGUAUAAUUCGCGUACGGCAUUUCUCUUUGAAAUGUUAUGUAAUUUCAAUUUAUUAUUUGUAGAAUAUUAGACACAGUAUUAGUGAAAUUUAGUGAUCGCUGGUUCAGUAUGUGUGAAGAUCAAUUUGGCUAAUUUUCGCCUUGCCUUGUCACUAUUAUAUCUAAUUCAGCAUUGACAUUUUUUUACCUUUCUAGGUUUCUUCAGGUUAGAAAUGACUUAUAUUCUUUGACAAAUAAGAAGUUGAUUAUUGCAAUAGAUAUUAAACCAUACAUAUAAAUUUUCUAAAUAUCUUCUAACUCUUUUCUAUAAUAGUUUGGACUGCUUUACGUUUCAUAUAAUCUUCAUGUCAUGCUUGAUGUUGUCGCAAACAAGGGAUAAGAUCUGCUAUCUUCAUUCGUUCAUGUCUUCAGUUAAUAUAACUUUAGAUAAGAAAUUCAGUCAAUUAUAUCAAAUAUGUACUUUUUGACUUUUUGCAUCCUUUUGUCUAUGUUAUUUUAACUCUGGUCCUUCCUAAAUGAAUGCAUUAUGGCAAUUAAUGCAUGAACGUUGGACGUCCUAUAUCUAAUCUAUUUAUCGUCUUUUUUGUGGUAAGGUAAACCGACAAUGAGAAGUUAGCUGAUGAUGAAGAGGAAACUAAGGGGAAGUACAUCCAUGGUGAUGUAUUCAAGUACCUGAAAUACAAAUUUUUGUUUAUAAUAAAUGAUGGUUCAACCUUAGUAUCCUUUAUUAUAUUUUCCAA
rnacentral:lncRNA from 1 species